CCUACGGGGGGCAGCAGUGGGGAAUAUUGGACAAUGGGGGCAACCCUGAUCCAGCCAUGCCGCGUGUGUGAAGAAGGCCCUCGGGUUGUAAAGCACUUUCAGUGAGGAAGAACGCCUGGUGGUUAAUACCCAUCAGGAAAGACAUCACUCACAGAAGAAGCACCGGCUAACUCCGUGCCAGCAGCCGCGGUAAUACGGAGGGUGCGAGCGUUAAUCGGAAUUACUGGGCGUAAAGCGCGCGUAGGUGGCUUGAUGAGCCGGUUGUGAAAGCCCCGGGCUCAACCUGGGAACGGCAUCCGGAACUGUCAAGCUAGAGUGCAGGAGAGGAAGGUAGAAUUCCCGGUGUAGCGGUGAAAUGCGUAGAGAUCGGGAGGAAUACCAGUGGCGAAGGCGGCCUUCUGGACUGACACUGACACUGAGGUGCGAAAGCGUGGGUAGCAAACAGGAUUAGAUACUCCUGUAGUC
rnacentral:rRNA from 1 species